UAAUGAAAAAGGCAAACUUAUCGAAAGGUAAGGACGCAAAGCUAUGGGUCUAAUGUUCUGAUGAAUUAUGACAGCCAGGUUGCCAAA
rfam:[Bacillus] aminovorans strain DSM 1314 DSM1314_contig_21, whole genome shotgun sequence.